CACUACUUUUUGAAAAUAUCUAAAAAAUGAACACCUUCCCAUAAGCCAGUACUUCAGGUGGACAGAGAAAUAGAUUAGCAAUGCUGUAUUCUGGUUCCAAAAAUUAACAUAAAUAUAAGAAAAUAACAAUAAUUAUUAUUUAUUAAUGGAUUAACAAAUAAAUCAUACUUACCUAUGAGGGCUGUGUGCAUUUAUUCCCUCACAUCUUCACGAAGAGAGAGAGAGAGGGAGGGCAGACGGCAGAUCUGAGAGCUGAGACAGAGGCGCACAAAGAGGGAGAGAUCGAGAGAUCGAGAGAACCUGUGUUAACAUCGUCGGAGCCAACAAAGAGCCACGGCUCACCUGGUAAGUGGUUCUCUAUCUUCUUCUCCCUCCUCCUACCACUUUCUCUAUCUUUUUGAAUUAUUUUGGCUCUGCGAAUGCAGGAUUCUGUAUGUCUUCUAUGUCCUUUUCUUCGCUCAAUCAAAUAAUUCAAGUCACGGGCCAUUCUAUUGCAAAGCUGCACCUACCAGCACUGUUAGGUCACGGGCCCUUUCUGUUGUUUCGUUUCGUUUCGAUCGAAUCAGAGUAGUUUCGUACGAAACCAACCGAAAAAUCUUGUUUCGAUCGAACCAUUGGAAUUUCGGAAAUCCUUCACUGUUUCGCUUCGGUGCCUGCCGAAACCGAAAUGUUUCGGUCGUUUCGCCCGAAACGAAACGAAAUUUUGUUCCUUGAUUACGGCAAUGAUUUGCUGAACUUACUGCCGCAGACGACGAAGAGAAAAUGGAGUAUAGGGCUUCUCUUCUAGGCAGACACUGGCAGGAGCUUCAGGAAUUUGUGUGCAUUUCGUGGU
rnacentral:lncRNA from 1 species